rfam:Picea glauca, whole genome shotgun sequence.
AGUGGGCUUGAUUGUGGGGAAAACUCCACAGUUAAGCACGCUUGAGCCAGAGGCGUCUUGGGAUGGGUGACCACCUGGGAAGUCCUGGUUACUGGGUGCA